AUUCCACAAAUUACAGUUCGUGACCCGGAAAAGCAAGCAAGAACCAAAGGUCGUCCACGCAAUGCUACAAGAAUUAAAUCAACUUUAGAACAAGCAAAAGAAAAGAAAGAGAGGCAAAAGCGUACAUGUAGUAGAUGUGGACAACUUGGGCAUUAUAGGACUAGCUGUACAGUUAACAAGCCCAGCGAAACUGACAAACAAGACUAACGAACAAAGUUUAUGGAGAUAUCUGCUAGAAAAAAUGUUCUGAAAUCUGCUAUAUGCUUCUACAGAUGACGAGAGCAAUCAAGAAGAAUCUUUGGAUGUUUUGUGGCAGAUGACGAGAGAAUUCACUGUUAUUUAUUUCAAUGGAGGUUUUAUAGAUAAGCAGCACAUGAGUUCUCUGUAGUUGGAUUUCUUUUGACUGGGGGAAAAAUCUUGAUUUCUGCUGGUGUCAGUGCCUAUUUGGUUCUUUUUGUCAAAAACUAUCAUCAUUUCUUUUCAUUUAGGGUAUUGAAAUUAUGCUAUUGACGGUUACUGAUAGUCGUUUUCGUCAAUCGUAUAAGUUUCUAAUUGUCUUCAACUGUUUGUCAUUUGUAAGCUCUCCUUUGGAAUUCUCUAUGCUGGCAGUGAAAUUUCUGCAUUCUGUUCC